GAUGAACGCUGGCGGCGUGCCUAAUACAUGCAAGUCGAGCGAACGGACGAGAAGCUUGCUUCUCUGAUGUUAGCGGCGGACGGGUGAGUAACACGUGGAUAACCUACCUAUAAGACUGGGAUAACUUCGGGAAACCGGAGCUAAUACCGGAUAAUAUUUUGAACCGCAUGGUUCAAAAGUGAAAGACGGUCUUGCUGUCACUUAUAGAUGGAUCCGCGCUGCAUUAGCUAGUUGGUAAGGUAACGGCUUACCAAGGCAACGAUGCAUAGCCGACCUGAGAGGGUGAUCGGCCACACUGGCACUGAGACACGGUCCAGACUCCGACGGGAGGCAGCAGUAGGGAAUCUUACGCAAUGGACGAAAGCCUGACAGAGCAACGCCGCGUGAGUGAUGAAGGUCUUCGGAUCGUAAAACUCUGUUAUUAGGGAAGAACAUAUGUGUAAGUACCUGUGCACAUCUUGACGGUACCUAAUCAGAAAGCCACGGCUAACUACGUG
rnacentral:rRNA from 1 species